rnacentral:rRNA from 1 species
ACGGGUGAGGAAUACAUCGGAAUCUACUCUGUCGUGGGGGAUAACGUAGGGAAACUUACGCUAAUACCGCAUACGACCUACGGGUGAAAGCAGGGGAUCUUCGGACCUUGCGCGAUUGAAUGAGCCGAUGUCGGAUUAGCUAGUUGGCGGGGUAAAGGCCCACCAAGGCGACGAUCCGUAGCUGGUCUGAGAGGAUGAUCAGCCACACUGGAACUGAGACACGGUCCAGACUCCUACGGGAGGCAGCAGUGGGGAAUAUUGGACAAUGGGCGCAAGCCUGAUCCAGCCAUACCGCGUGGGUGAAGAAGGCCUUCGGGUUGUAAAGCCCUUUUGUUGGGAAAGAAAUCCAGCUGGCUAAUACCCGGUUGGGAUGACGGUACCCAAAGAAUAAGCACCGGCUAACUUCGUGCCAGCAGCCGCGGUAAUACGAAGGGUGCAAGCGUUACUCAGAAUUACUGGGCGUAAAGCGUGCGUAGGUGGUCGUUUAAGUCCGUUGUGAAAGCCCUGGGCUCAACCUGGGAACUGCAGUGGAUACUGGGCGACUAGAGUGUGGUAGAGGGUAGCGGAAUUCCUGGUGUAGC